rnacentral:lncRNA from 1 species
GCAGUUUGCAGUGAUGUGGCUAAGAUACCCUUGUGCUAUUAAAGGCACAUUUACGUAUCUUUCAACGCAGUUUGUACCUUUGUUUAGGGUUCUAUUGAACUUUCUCUGUGCUCUUUAGAAAACCGUCGAAUAAAGAACUCAAAUGAUGCUGUUUUUGGACAGGGAGGUCAUGGACCAAGUACAAAGCGGCAAAAGGAUGGAAUUAAGGUACCUGACAUUGUUGAACCCUUGCCUGAUGCCACAUUAGCUCAGGACUACCUACAUGGACAUGGAUAUUUCCAGUGAAAGAAAGAAGAAAGCAUGCUUUUCUCUUGACUGUGCAGAAAAAAAAUCUAUGUUUCUUUGAUUCUCCAUUUUACUAGAUGCCAUACCUUUGUAGUUACUUCAUGUGGAGUCUUGACCAAGAUUCAGGAAAUACUAGAACUUUCAGUCCCAGAAGGUUACUCUGGGCAUUACUAGUCCCCAUCAUUAUGAGUUGAGUUUUACUAGUUAAUUUCAGACGAAAAAUAUUUGUUUUUCCCCAAAUUCUGGGGUUACGUACUUUUACUACCUAUGAACUGACAACUGUAUCUUCAGUAAUUACAAUUUCCAACAAAAUGUUAUAGGAAUAAAG